rnacentral:tRNA from 1 species
AGAGGCAAGAGUCGCUCUGGAGAGGAUGCUGGCUAUCUGCUAGCAGUUAGUGAUAGAGAAGCCGCAUAGAGUCGUUCUAUGCGACUUCUCUUUAC